rnacentral:rRNA from 1 species
CGGUUCGCUGCCGACAACGUCGCGAGAAGUCCACUGAACCUUAUCAUUUAGAGGAAGGAGAAGUCGUAACAAGGUUUCCGUAGGUGAACCUGCGGAAGGAUCAUUGUCGAAUUCGAAGGGGAGAACGACCCGCGAACCGUCUUUGCGUAGCGAACCAAGCUCGCGUGCACAAAAGGUGGCGCGUCUAGCGACGCGUCGGUGCGGGCCUUCUCGAAAGGGCCGCGCCGCGCCGUAAUGUAUCAACGUCAGCACGGAUCGUGCCAAGUACUGCAUUGGGGAGAAUCGUCGUCCUCCCCCUCUUUGGGGGGCGGGGGACAUGCGCGAUCUCUGCUCUUAGUCUUAAUGACUCUCGGCAACGGAUAUCUCGGCUCUUGCAUCGAUGAAGAACGCAGCGAAAUGCGGUACUUGGUGUGAAUUGCAGAAUCCCGCGAACCAUCAACUCUUUGAACGCAAGUUGCGCCCGAAGCCAUACGGCCGACGGCACGCCUGCCUGGGUGUCGUUAAUCCCCUUGCCGCCGGCGCCCGCACGAGCAUCGUCGCGGAUAUUUCCGGGCGCAGAAUAUGGUCUCCCGCCGGGUCGGCGUGCGCGGCACGUCGUCGGGCGGUUGGUCGAAAAUCGAGCAUUGCGACGUCCGGUUCCACGGCGUUCGGUGGAUCGAACGCGAUUGGCAGCGCCGUGGUCCCGUCUUGCCACGGGCUCUGGACUUGGACGAUUUGUGAAUGCGAUCCCAGGUCAGGUGUGGCUACCCGCUGAGUUUAAGCAUAUCAAUAAGC